rnacentral:sRNA from 1 species
GCCAGGAGUCUUUGCACACACCUGUAAUCCCAGCGACUCGGGAGGCUGAGGCAGGAGGAUCGAAAGUUCAAAGCCAGCCCAGCACUUUGUGAAUCUCUGAGCAACUUAGCGAGACCCUGUCUCAA